rnacentral:rRNA from 1 species
CCUACGGGAGGCAGCAGUGAGGAAUAUUGGUCAAUGGGCGCGAGCCUGAACCAGCCAAGUCGCGUGAGGGAUGACGGUCCUACGGAUUGUAAACCUCUUUUGCCGGGGAGCAAGCGUGCGUUCGUGAACGCGCGUCGAGAGUACCCGGAGAAAAAGCAUCGGCUAACUCCGUGCCAGCAGCCGCGGUAAUACGGAGGUGGCAAGCGUUGUCCGGAUUUACUGGGUGUAAAGGGCGUGCAGCCGGGAAGACAAGUCAGAUGUGAAAUCCCGCGGCUCAACCGCGGAACUGCAUUUGAAACUGUUUUUCUUGAGUACCGGAGAGGUCAUCGGAAUUCCUUGUGUAGCGGUGAAAUGCGUAGAUAUAAGGAAGAACACCAGUGGCGAAGGCGGAUGACUGGACGGCAACUGACGGUGAGGCGCGAAAGCGUGGGGAGCAAACAGGAUUAGAUACCCUAGUAGUC